AGUGAACGCUGGCGGUAGGCCUAACACAUGCAAGUCGAACGGCAGCACAGUAAGAGCUUGCUCUUACGGGUGGCGAGUGGCGGACGGGUGAGGAAUACAUCGGAAUUUACUUUUUCGUGGGGGAUAACGUAGGGAAACUUACGCUAAUACCGCAUACGACCUACGGGUGAAAGCAGGGGAUCUUCUGACCUUGCGCGAUUGAAUGAGCCGAUUUCGGAUUAGCUAGUUGGCGGGGUAAAGGCCCACCAAGUCGACGAUCCGUAGCUGGUCUGAGUGGAUGAUCAGCCACCCGGGAACUGAGACACGGUCCAGACUCCUACGGGAGGCAGCAGUGGGGAAUAUUGGACAAUGGGCGCAAGCCUGAUCCAGCCAUACCGAGUGGGUGAAGAAGGCCUUCGGGUUGUAAAGCCCUUUUGUUGGGAAAGAAAAGCAGCAGGUUAAUACCCAGCUGUUCUGACGGUACCCAAAGAAUAAGCACCGGCUAACUUCGUG
rnacentral:rRNA from 1 species